GCAGCAACUUGAACAGUCGCCAUUUCAGAAGUCAAUUGUUAAAAUGCUGGAGAGCGGUGCGAAUAAUUAGGUCUGCAAGAAGCUUUUCCUUGACUGCUCGCAUAGACCAUAACAAAGCCAGAGGAGCCUGGAGAGGGGGGCGUGGCUUCCAACAUGAAUACUGGAGAAGGAGAGGAGGGGGGCGUGACCUCUGAAAUGUACCACACCCUCAGUGGAGCUAUGGACCCACAGAAAAAGAGCAGUGUCACUGCACAGAGAGCAGCGUCCCCGGUGCC